CAGUGUUUACAGCAAAAAGCCUGACGGUAAUGAUUCUGCUCACCACAUACACAUACAUUCUACUCACCAGAACAAAUUCAAUAAGCUGUAGUUGUCCUGGUAACUCUGGUGUCCCUUUAACUAUAUUCAUUGUCAGCCAGUCCACACAAGUUUUGUUCCCAUACAUCCCUCUUAAGUUUCCAUACUUAAGUAAGAGUAUGUGAAAAGUAGUUAGGG